GAUGAACGCUAGCUACAGGCUUAACACAUGCAAGUCGCGGGGCAGCAUGGGGGUUGCUUGCAAUCCCCGAUGGCGACCGGCGCACGGGUGAGUAACGCGUAUCCAACCUGCCCUUCACCACGGGAUAACCCGGCGAAAGUCGGACUAAUACCGUAUGUUGUCCAUUGACGGCAUCCGAUUUGGACGAAAGGCUUGGCGGUGAGGGAUGGGGAUGCGUCCGAUUAGCCAGACGGCGGGGUAACGGCCCACCGGGGCUACGAUCGGUAGGGGUUCUGAGAGGAAGGUCCCCCACACUGGAACUGAGACACGGUCCAGACUCCUACGGGAGGCAGCAGUGAGGAAUAUUGGUCAAUGGGCGUAAGCCUGAACCAGCCAAGUAGCGUGCAGGAUGACGGCCCUAUGGGUUGUAAACUGCUUUUAUGCGGGGAUAAAGUGGCCCACGUGUGGGCUUUUGCAGGUACCGCAUGAAUAAGGACCGGCUAAUUCCGUG
rnacentral:rRNA from 1 species